UAAGUAGACCGCCUGGGGAGUACGGCCGCAAGGUUAAAACUCAAAUGAAUUGACGGGGGCCCGCACAAGCGGUGGAGCAUGUGGUUUAAUUCGAUGCAACGCGAAGAACCUUACCUGGUCUUGACAUACACAGAACUUUCCAGAGAUGGAUUGGUGCCUUCGGGAACUGUGAGACAGGUGCUGCAUGGCUGUCGUCAGCUCGUGUUGUGAAAUGUUGGGUUAAGUCCCGCAACGAGCGCAACCCUUAUCCUUUGU
rnacentral:rRNA from 1 species